rnacentral:rRNA from 1 species
GAGUUUGAUCCUGGCUCAGGACGAACGCUGGCGGCGCGCCUAACACAUGCAAGUCGAACGAGCGAGAGAGAGCUUGCUUUCUCGAGCGAGUGGCGAACGGGUGAGUAACGCGUGAGGAACCUGCCUCAAAGAGGGGGACAACAGUUGGAAACGACUGCUAAUACCGCAUAAGCCCACGGCCCGGCAUCGNNCAGAGGGAAAAGGAGCAAUCCGCUUUGAGAUGGCCUCGCGUCCGAUUAGCUAGUUGGUGAGGUAACGGCCCACCAAGGCGACGAUCGGUAGCCGGACUGAGAGGUUGAACGGCCACAUUGGGACUGAGACACGGCCCAGACUCCUACGGGAGGCAGCAGUGGGGAAUAUUGCACAAUGGGGGAAACCCUGAUGCAGCGACGCCGCGUGGAGGAAGAAGGUCUUCGGAUUGUAAACUCCUGUUGUUGGGGAAGAUAAUGACGGUACCCAACAAGGAAGUGACGGCUAACUACGUGCCAGCCGCCGCGGUAAUUC